rnacentral:tRNA from 1 species
GAGCCGUUAGCUCAGCCGGUAGAGCACCGGACUUUUAAUCCGGGUGUCGAGGGUUCGAGUCCCUCACGGCUCACCA